UACGGAGGGUGCAAACGUUGCUCGGAAUCAUUGGGCGUAAAGCGCACGUAGGCGGCCGAUUAAGUCGGGUGUGAAAGCCCUGGGCUCAACCCAGGAAGUGCACUCGAAACUGACCGGCUUGAAUAUGGAAGAGGGUCGCGGAAUUCCUGGUGUAGAGGUGAAAUUCGUAGAUAUCAGGAGGAACACCAGUGGCGAAGGCGGCUUUCUGGACGGUAACUGACGCUGAGACGCGAAAGCGUGGGGAGCAAACAGG
rnacentral:rRNA from 1 species